AGACGUCACGAGAAAUCAGAUGAACCUCGACUUGCCCUUAAACAUUUUGCAGCAGCGUUCAAGCUCUGUGACAAUGAUGCAAGGUUACGUGCGAAGAUUCGUAAUUGUUACAAAUUGAUGAAGAAACCUUCCUCAGGCGCAACCUGACUUCCUGAAGAUAGGUGUUGAAAUUUUUUUACAAAAGUAAAUUCAUUUAGUUUAUUAGUCUAUAGAUAGUUGA